rnacentral:rRNA from 1 species
AGUUUAGCUAAUGUUGCCCGUACCGUAAACCGACACAGGUGGGUGGGAUGAGUAUUCUAAGGCGCGUGGAAGAACUCUCUUUAAGGAACUCUGCAAAAUAGCACCGUAUCUUCGGUAUAAGGUGUGGUUCGCUUCGUAUUAGGAUUUACUCCGAAAGCGAAGAAACUUACAACAAAGAGUCCCUCCCGACUGUUUACCAAAAACACAGCACUCUGCUAACUCGUAAGAGGAUGUAUAGGGUGUGACGCCUGCCCGGUGCUCGAAGGUUAAUUGAUGGGGUUAGCAUUAGCGAAGCUCUUGAUCGAAGCCCGAGUAAACGGCGGCCGUAACUAUAACGGUCCUAAGGUAGCGAAAUUCCUUGUCGGUUAAAUACCGACCUGCAUGAAUGGCGUAACGAGAUGGGAGCUGUCUCAAAGAGGGAUCCAGUGAAAUUGUAGUGGAGGUGAAAAUUCCUCCUACCCGCGGCAAGACGGAGAGACCCCGUGGACCUUUACUACAGCUUGACACUGCUAUUUGGAUAAGAAUGUGCAGGAUAGGUGGGAGGCUUUGAGUAUAUGACGCCAGUUGUAUAUGAGCCAUUGUUGAGAUACCACUCUUUCUUAUUUGGGUAGCUAACCAGCUUGAGUUAUCCUCAAGUGGGACAAUGUCUGGUGGGUAGUUUGACUGGGGCGGUCGCCUCCCAAAUAAUAACGGAGGCUUACAAAGGUUGGCUCAGAACGGUUGGAAAUCGUUCGUAGAGUAUAAAGGUAUAAGCCAGCUUAACUGCAAGACAUACAAGUCAAGCAGAGACGAAAGUCGGUCUUAGUGAUCCGGUGGUUCUGUGUGGAAGGGCCAUCGCUCAAAGGAUAAAAGGUACCCCGGGGAUAACAGGCUGAUCUCCCCCAAGAGCUCACAUCGACGGGGAGGUUUGGCACCUCGAUGUCGGCUCAUCGCAUCCUGGGGCUGGAGCAGGUCCCAAGGGUAUGGCUGUUCGCCAUUUAAAGCGGUACGCGAGCUGGGUUCAGAACGUCGUGAGACAGUUCGGUCCCUAUCUGCCGUGGGCGUAAGAAGAUUGAAGAGAUUUGACCCUAGUACGAGAGGACCGGGUUGAACAAACCACUGGUGUAGCUGUUGUUCUGCCAAGAGCAUCGCAGCGUAGCUAAGUUUGGAAAGGAUAAACGCUGAAAGCAUCUAAGCGUGAAGCCAACUCUAAGAUGAAUCUUCUCUAAGCUCUCUAGAAGACUACUAGUUUGAUAGGCUGGGUGUGUAAUGGAUGAAAGUCCUUUAGCUGACCAGUACUAAUAGAGCGUUUGGCUUAUCUUU